AGCGAACGCUGGCGGCAGGCCUAACACAUGCAAGUCGAACGGAUCCUUCGGGAUUAGUGGCGGACGGGUGAGUAACACGUGGGAACGUGCCCUUUGGUUCGGCACAACUCAGGGAAACUUGAGCUAAUACCGGAUGUGCCCUUCGGGGGAAAGAUUUAUCGCCAUUGGAGCGGCCCGCGUCUGAUUAGCUAGUUGGUGAGGUAACGGCACACCAAGGCGACGAUCAGUAGCUGGUCUGAGAGGAUGAUCAGCCACACUGGGACUGAGACACGGCCCAGACUCCUACGGGAGGCAGCAGUGGGGAAUCGUGCGCAAUGGGCGAAGGCCUGACGCAGCCAUGACGCGUGAAUGAUGAAGGUCUUAGGAUUGUAAAAUUCUUUCAGCGGGGACGAUAAUGACGGUACCCGCAGAAGAAGCUCCGGCUAACUUCGUG
rnacentral:rRNA from 1 species